rnacentral:rRNA from 1 species
CUGCUGCCUCCCGUAGGAGUCUGGUCCGUGUCUCAGUACCAGUGUGGGGGACCUUCCUCUCAGAACCCCUAUCCAUCGUGGACUUGGUGAGCCGUUACCUCACCAACUAUCUAAUGGAACGCAUGCCCAUCUAUCAGCGAUAAUUCUUUAACAAAUAUUUCCAUGUGGAACCCCUGUUUUAUGCGGUAUUAGUCCGACUUUCGCCGGGUUACGUUCCCCUUCUGAUAGGUAGGUUGCAUACGCGUUACUCACCCGUGCGCCGGUCG